rnacentral:rRNA from 1 species
AACGAACGCUGGCGGCAUGCCUAACACAUGCAAGUCGAACGAGACCUUCGGGUCUAGUGGCGCACGGGUGCGUAACGCGUGGGAACCUGCCCUUAGGUUCGGAAUAACUCCCCGAAAGGGGUGCUAAUACCGGAUAAUGUCUUCGGACCAAAGAUUUAUCGCCUUUGGAUGGGCCCGCGUUGGAUUAGCUAGUUGGUAGGGUAAAAGCCUACCAAGGCGACGAUCCAUAGCUGGUCUGAGAGGAUGAUCAGCCACACUGGGACUGAGACACGGCCCAGACUCCUACGGGAGGCAGCAGUGGGGAAUAUUGGACAAGGGGCGAAAGCCUGAUCCAGCAAUGCCGCGUGAGUGAUGAAGGCCUUAGGGUUGUAAAGCUCUUUUACCCGGGAUGAUAAUGACAGUACCGGGAGAAUAAGCGCCGGCGAACUCCG